rnacentral:rRNA from 1 species
CGACCNGCGCACNGGUGAGUAACANGUAUCCAANCUGCCGAUGACUCGGGGNUNGCCUUUCNAAAGAAANAUUAAUACCCGAUGGCAUAAUUCUUCCGCAUGGUAGAAUUAUUAAAGAAUUUCGGUCAUCGAUGGGGAUGCGUUCCAUUAGGUUGUUGGCGGGGUAACGGCCCACCAAGCCUUCGAUGGAUAGGGGUUCUGAGAGGAAGGUCCCCCACAUUGGAACUGAGACACGGUCCAAACUCCUACGGGAGGCAGCAGUGAGGAAUAUUGGUCAAUGGACGAGAGUCUGAACCAGCCAAGUAGCGUGAAGGAUGACUGCCCUAUGGGUUGUAAACUUCUUUUAUACGGGAAUAAAGUGAGGCACGUGUGCCUUUUUGUAUGUACCGUAUGAAUAAGGAUCGGCUAACUCCGUGCCAGCAGCCGCGGUAAUACGGAGGAUCCGAGCGUUAUCCGGAUUUAUUGGGUUUAAAGGGAGCGUAGGCGGACGCUUAAGUCAGUUGUGAAAGUUUGCGGCUCAACCGUAAAAUUGCAGUUGAUACUGGGUGUCUUGAGUACAGUAGAGGCAGGCGGAAUUCGUGGUGUAGCGGUGAAAUGCUUAGAUAUCACGAAGAACUCCGAUCGCGAANGCAGCUCACCGGGCCGGAACUGACACUGAUGCUCGAAAGUGCGGGUAU